rnacentral:rRNA from 1 species
UACGAAGGGGGCUAGCGUUGCUCGGAAUUACUGGGCGUAAAGCGCACGUAGGCGGCUUUUUAAGUCGGGGGUGAAAUCCUGGAGCUCAACUCCAGAACUGCCUUCGAUACUGAAAAGCUUGAGUUCGGGAGAGGUGAGUGGAACUGCGAGUGUAGAGGUGAAAUUCGUAGAUAUUCGCAAGAACACCAGUGGCGAAGGCGGCUCACUGGCCCGAUACUGACGCUGAGGUGCGAAAGCGUGGGGAGCAAACAGG